rnacentral:rRNA from 1 species
UCCACGCCCUAAACGAUGUCAACUAGGUGUUGGGGAAGGAGACUUUCUUAGUACCGCAGCUAACGCGUGAAGUUGACCGCCUGGGGAGUACGGUCGCAAGAUUAAAACUCAAAGGAAUUGACGGGGACCCGCACAAGCGGUGGAUUAUGUGGAUUAAUUCGAUGCAACGCGAAAAACCUUACCUACCCUUGACAUGCCAGGAACUUUCCAGAGAUGGAUUGGUGCCCGAAAGGGAACCUGGACACAGGUGCUGCAUGGCUGUCGUCAGCUCGUGUCGUGAGAUGUUGGGUUAAGUCCCGCAACGAGCGCAACCCUUGCCAAUAAUUGCCACCAUUCAGUUGGGCACUUUAUGGGACUGCCGGUGAUAAACCGGAGAAGGUGGGGAUGACGUCAAGUCCUCAUGCCCUUAUGGGUAGGCUUCA